rnacentral:rRNA from 1 species
UGAUAAACUGGAGGAAGGUGGGGAUGACGUCAAGUCAUCAUGGCCCUUACGAGUAGGGCUACACACGUGCUACAAUGGCGCAUACAAAGAGAAGCGACCUCGCGAGAGCAAGCGGACCUCAUAAAGUGCGUCGUAGUCCGGAUUGGAGUCUGCAACUCGACUCCAUGAAGUCGGAAUCGCUAGUAAUCGUAGAUCAGAAUGCUACGGUGAAUACGUUCCCGGGUCUUGUACACACCG